rfam:Stegodyphus mimosarum contig22365, whole genome shotgun sequence.
GCCUUCGUGGUGUAAUGGUCAGCACACUGAGAUGGUAUAUUUCAGAGGUCCGUGGUUCGAUCCCCGGUGAAGGCA